rnacentral:rRNA from 1 species
CAGUAGCCGCGGUAAUACGUAGGUGGUAAGCGUUGUCCGGAAUUAUUGGGCGUAAAGGGCUCGCAGGCGGUUUCUUAAGUCUGAUGUGAAAGCCCCCGGCUCAACCGGGGAGGGUCAUUGGAAACUGGGAAACUUGAGUGCAGAAGAGGAGAGUGGAAUUCCACGUGUUGCGGUGAAAUGCGUAGAGAUGUGGAGGAACACCAGUGGCGAAGGCGACUCUCUGGUCUGUAACUGACGCUGAGGAGCGAAAGCGUGGGGAGCGAACAGGAUUAGAUACCCCUGUAGUCCCGUCUCUUAUACA